CCUCUCCUUCAAUAUUUUGCUUCAUGAUUAGCUCAUAAGUCAUGAGAAAACUAAGAAGUUCUUCAAGGAAUAAGAGAUUGAGAUCCCUAGCUUCUUGAAUUAUUGUCACUUUAGCUUUCUAAGCUCUAGAAAGAGACUUGAAAAUUUUUCGUACAAGCUCACCAUUAGUAUAAGAUUUUUUUAAACUUUUAAGAUCAUUAAUAAUAUCAGUAAA
rnacentral:lncRNA from 1 species